CCGAGACAUGGAUGCGGGUGCAGAGGCCUGGGACAGACACCUACUGGAUGAGGACACCUUCACCGAGAACUUCCGCAAUGAUAAUUGGCCGCCCAGGACCUACCUCUGCUACAAGGUGGAGCGUCCCGAUCCGGGCUCCGGGGUCCCUCUGGGCCAGGACAAGGGCAUCCUGUGCAAUAAGAGGGCCCAGAGACCCGAGCCCCC